GCAAGUUCAUACUCUUAAAAUGUGUUUUCCAUUUCUGACUUUCUUGUUUUAUGAAACACUGGAAACAUGAGAGCUUUUCAAAUAUCCUUGAGAGCGAUGGGAGGUUUACAUUUAUUCUUUCGUUUACUCUGUCGUUUAUGGAGGCUUUAUCAGGAAACAAAAGCUGAUGUGUGUUUUAGCUCUACAGCAUCUUCUAGUGUGGACAUUUCUGGUCCCCUGAGUGUUGGUGGGUGCUUGUAAAGGAGAGGAGCGAGGCUGGGUGAGCCAUCAGCAUCUUUAUGUUCCAGAACAGUGGUUAGAGAGGCAGCUUGCUUGCCUCAGCUGAUCCGUGCCUGUCCCUAACCCGGCAUUAACUAGGACCAGCUUUAGGUUUUGCCAGCAGAUGCUGGUGACUGUGGCAUCAUCCAAGGUUCAUUUUUUGGAAUGGGAAUGAGGAAUAUGGCUGUUGGUGAGAAACUCACCCAGUUACUCCAAAUCCAUUUCCAGAUCUGCUGAUCACAGUAGCAAUGCAAAACCUGGGCAAACAGGAAAAUCCUCUUGGGUAUGGGCGUCCAAGCCCAAGCUCAGGGCUCUGCCCUGGCAUCCUUGCACAGGGCGAGCAGAGUGAGAGGAGCAGCGAGAGGGAGCGGGCCAGAAUAGAAAUUCUGGCAUUGCUCAGCUCUGAUUUGUGCCUAUGAGGUGAAGCUGGGGAGGAUUAGGAGCUCCUGCCAAUUGCCCUGUGCUGGCAUCCAGCCACUGCAGAGAGAGCUGCUUUCUUCUGCUGGACUCAAAAACCAGCCACAGAUCUGUAAAUGCAGAGCCACGGCUGCACCUCGUGCUGGGAAAGGGAUAUAUUGCUUGAGGCAUUUCCUCUCAUCCUGUCACUUGAUGCCUGGGAGAUCGACCCCCAUCUGGCUGCAGCCUCCUGUCACGUACUCCCAGAGCAUGAUGAGGUUCCUGCUGAGCCUCUUCUGUCCAGCUGGAGCCGGAGCCGGCGAUGGACCGAGCCGGGCAGGGCUGCGGGAGGAGGCGGCAGCAGGCAGAAACAUCCCGGCACAGCUCGGGAGGAAUGCCAACCACGGGAUAACCAGCUCGGGAAAUACCUUUUGCUCGAGAGGGAAAGCUGCCCAAGGCCAGCUGGGCUGGGCAGCACGGACCGAGCACGGGGCUCGCUCUGGGCUCUGCUUCCCCAUCCCGGAGGAGCCUGCUCUGCACUCUUCAAAAUGCACCCACAGCCCCGCAUCACAUCGUGAUUUGGCUGCAAGUCGAGCCGAGUGUCUAUUAUCUCGGCAGACUCAUGGUGUGCAUCUCCUCCCCAUCUAAUAUAUCCGAACGUACAGUGAGAGUUUUACAGACAAGAUAAUGUGUUUUGGCUGUAUGGAAUAGUCGUGCUAUUCCUAUAGGAGAAAAAUUUAAUUUUGCUCUGAAUUCCUCUACAACCAGACAGCUUCCCAUUUAUAUCCUGGGUAAUAAAUCAAAGCAACAUGAAGUCUUGUGCAUGGAACUGAAGUGGUUUCUUAAAGCAAAUUUGGCAGGAAAUAAGUCAUCGUCUUAAAAAGCUGGUUCAUUCCUCAUAUACAAUGCACCACUGACUCUUUGCUAAAAUCUGUAACCAGGCACAUGAUUUUGUGAAAGAUAGAGAGAAAUCCACAAGCCCUAGCAAUGCUGUAUGAGAUAGGCCAUUUGAUUCUCUUACCAAAAUUGCACAUGUCUUUGCCAGGGAAAUCACCCUGAGUUCCCCGGCUCACAGCGCCCAGGUAUUCAGACAUCACAAGCCAUUAGUUUGGCUUCAUAUAAAAAUAAGGUCAUGCUGGUAUCCCAUCUUCCCUCUGUGUUUUUCCACUCUCUUCUUGCCUCCUCAACUGAUGUUAUUUUUCUCUCAAUUUUUUUUUACCAACUUUCCUUUCUAGUUUCUAUUUCUAUCACGCAAACAUGCCACAGCACAGAGAUGUAAGCAAUGCAUAAUAUAUUUGCAGUAAUGUAUGAUUCAUUUACUAGCUUUCAUAAUUAAUGUGGCUGUGUUUUACAUGCACAUUACUUCCUGCAUGCAUUUUAUGAUGUGAAUGCUCUUCAAAAAUCUAAUAAAAUGUAAUCCGUUAAAAACAAUAGCACUAGUCCUGUGGUGAGAUUUGUGUGCAGUUUUGCAGCAGCUGCAGAAAGAACCUGGUGCCAAGUUUCUAUUCCAAACACUGAUUUUGCUGCUGUUUUAUGCAGCUCAUAAUUCUCAAGGUGGAAAUUAUUAUAAUUAUAUAUAUUAUUAUAGUGAUAUCACAGUUGGUCUGAGUAUAAUUUGCUUUCAUACCCUGAAAACUUUCCAACCCAAAUAAUCUUUCUGUCUGCUCUCUGGAGUUCAAUAAAAAAUACAAAAUUAUGCUGAAUUUUGAAGAAAUGUAUCAGAACUACAGCACAGCAUCUGUAAAAUAUUGGCUAAAUAAUGCCAACAUCUGCACCUCCAAAAAAUUCAUUCUUGGCUGGGAUUUAGUGAGGUUGAGAACACACAGCUUCAUCCUCUGGGAAACAGAACACUGCUUCCAAAGGUAUUUAUACAUCUAAUUUACACCAAUAUCAACAAAAGCUGGGAAUGGCUGGAGAGCUCAGGCCAUGCACUUUAUUUAAACAUUAUUAUCUUCCUCGUGAGGAUUUGAGGACCCCAAAUUAAUUUUGUACCCCAUGAAGAAGAAAGCCAGCGUGGCCAUUUGCGUGCUGUUCCUUGACACACUGUCCCAAGCAGAUGGAUUUGGAAGGUUCUCAUUUCCCAUCUUCACACUAAAAGUGUGUGUAAAAUAAUUUACAGCAACAAUACUACACUUUUGAAGAAGGAAAUCUAACAUGUAUACAUUGAAAAUUCAAAACUGAUCUGAGAAAUGGAUACAAUUUCCUGUGUAAAGCUAGAAAUAGUGUUUCCACGUCUCCAGAUACCAGUCCAAUGUUUUGCCUGCUUUCCUCCAGCUGAAUCCUCAUUAAAGCCAACAGGCACAAAUCUUCCCAGCUCAGUGGCCGUGGGGGGUUGGAGGAUUUACUCUUGUUUAAGCUCUGACCCCCAGAUUGGGUGAGAGCAGCCAGAUCAGGCCCAUGCUGCUCCCGGGUUAUCCCUUCCCACCUGCACAGCACCUCAGCGCUGCCUGAGCUGCCAGCAGGCGAGGGGCACCACUGGCCUGGGUAAAUUAAGCCUGGGCUUAGGCCUGAUGGGAUGAGUUUUGAGGGGACGGUUGUGUAUGGUAGGAAAACGCAGCAUUUUCUGAAUGCAGCUUCUUGGAACAGCAAGGGACAGCUGCACUUCCCGCACGACUCCCGUGCUCUGGAUUUGCUGCACUUGCAUCAUCAGGCUUUCUCUGAAGUGUUUGACACAGAGAUUUUUUUCAAAUGUAUUUAAACUUUGCUUUUGGGCUUUUCUGUGUCCCUCCUGGUGAGUGUUUCCUUGCUGCCUGAGCUGUGUGGGGAGCUUUGGGAAACCCUCAGGUAACUCGUGCAGUGGCUGGUGCUGCUCCAAGGUGGGGAGCGUGCAUUCCUGGCAGCAGCGCUUGGUGCGGAAAGCUGCCGUGCUGGGAGCUGCUCCUCCUCCCAAACCUGGCACUAGGGCAAAGGUGGAAAACUGUUCAUGUGGAAAAAGGAGCUAGAGACCUCACGGCCCAAGUUCUACCUUUUAGAGGAAUCAAUACUUGUGCUGCUGUCGGGAAGUGAAAUCCUGCGCUGCAGCAGCACAAAGGGGACGAGCUGUGUCCCUGCCUAGGGUGAGCAUCCUGCACCUUUCAUAGCUGGGGGACACCCCGGGGACACACCGAGGACACC